rnacentral:rRNA from 1 species
GCCUACGGGGGGCAGCAGUAGGGAAUAUUGGUGAAUGGGCGAAAGCCCGACCCAGCAACGCCGCGUGUGCGAAGAAGGCCUUCGGGUUGUAAAGCACUUUUUAGCGGGAAGAGGAAGGACGGUACCGCUAGAAUAAGUCUCGGCUAACUACGUGCCAGCAGCCGCGGUAACACGUAGGAGACGAGCGUUAUCCGGAUUUACUGGGUGUAAAGCGCGUGUAGGCGGUCGAGUAAGUUGGAUGUGAAAGCUCCCGGCUCAACUGGGAGAGGUCGUUCAAUACUGCUUGGCUAGAGGACAGCAGAGGGGAGUGGAAUUCCGAGUGUAGCGGUAAAAUGCAUAGAUAUUCGGAAGAACACCAGUGGCGAAGGCGGCUCUCUGGGCUGGUCCUGACGCUCAGACGCGAAAGCUAGGGUAGCAAACGGGAUUAGAUACCCCGGU